AGAGUUUGAUCCUGGCUCAGGACGAACGCUGACGGUGUGCUUUAGGCAUGCAAGUCGAACGAGAAAGCCCUUCGGGGUGAGUAAAGUGGCGAACGGGUGAGUAACACGUGGGCAACCUGCCCCUCGCAGGGGGACAACCGGAGGAAACUCCGGCUAAUACCCCGUACGCUUGUUGGAUCGCAUGGUCCGGCAAGGAAAGGUAGCUUCGGCCAUCCGGCGAGGGAUGGGCCCGCGUUGCAUUAGCUAGUUGGUGGGGUAACGGCCUACCAAGGCGACGAUGCGUAGCUGGUCUGAGAGGAUGAUCAGCCACACUGGGACUGAGACACGGCCCAGACUCCUACGGGAGGCAGCAGCCAGGAAUCUUGGGCAAUGGGCGAAAGCCUGACCCAGCAACACCGUGUGGGCGAUGAAGGCCUUAGGGUCGUAAAGCCCUGUUGAUAGGGACGAAGGGCGAAGGGUUAAUAGCCCCUAGCUUGACGGUACCUUUCGAGGAAGCCCCGGCUAACUACGUGCCAGCAGCCGCGGUAAUACGUAGGGGGCGAGCGUUGUCCGGAAUUAUUGGGCGUAAAGAGCGUGUAGGCGGUUCGGUAAGUCUGCUGUGAAAUCCUGGGGCUCAACCCUGGGCGUGCAGCGGAUACUGCCGGGCUAGAGGGUGGUAGAGGCGAGUGGAAUUCCGAGUGUAGCGGUGAAAUGCGCAGAUAUUCGGAGGAACACCAGUAGCGAAGGCGGCUCGCUGGGCCACACCUGACGCUGAGACGCGAAAGCGUGGGGAGCGAACAGGAUUAGAUACCCCCGUAGUCC
rnacentral:rRNA from 1 species